rfam:Triticum aestivum genome assembly, contig: Triticum_aestivum_CS42_TGACv1_scaffold_195734_3AL
UAUGUACUCCCUCCGUCCGGAAAUACUUGUCGGAGAAGUGGAUAUAUGUAGACGUAUUUUAGUUUUAAAUACAUCCACUUUAUCCAUUUUACGCGACAAGUAAUUUUGGGCGGAGGGAGUAUGUA